GUGCACGUCAAUGCAAUGACCGAAUGUGGACGAUCGGCGUGCACGCGGGCCGAGUUGUCAGCGCCACAUGUGCCGAAUGUGGAUGUUACCUCGUAUCCUUGGAGACGGGCAGUUUAUUUUACAAUUGAUGGGCAGAGUUUGGCCACAUUGUUGCAUUUUAAGAAACACGUCAUUUCCAGUGUCAACACGGACCCCCCCCCUGCGUGUGUCCGUGCGUCUCUCUGCGUGCGCGUGUUUGCGCGUUCGUGUGCGCGAGGUUACUUCAGGUUCAAUUGGAAACGCCGUGUGAUCUCUGACAGCCAGGAAGGGAAACGGAAGGCACGGAGCGGCAGCUUGCAGGACACCAUCUUAGCUUUUAAAGGGCCAGCAGCCUCUCAUCGAAACACGCGGGCGCGUGCACACGCGUGCACACGCACGCACGCACGGACGCUCGCGCGCGCGCGCGCACUCUGAACCCUGGGAGGCAGCCUCCGCCAACGACGCGCGGUGACGUCACGGAGGUGCCGGGUGAAUAAAAGGGGUCGAAGCGGGACGCGGCAUCCAUCCAGCGGACGCGCGUUUCUGUCUGUUUAUUAGCGGAAGAUGCUGGAGACAGUUGAGUGCGCACGUUUCCACCUCCUCAAUACAAUGAGUGAACUUUGACCUGCGUAUGUGCAUGGGUGGCACAUUGAAUUUAAUAUUUAGCUCAGUCCGAUCUUCACCCUGAGGGCCACAAUCAUCUUUAUGUAUUAUCACAUUGUUUUAUUGUUCGGAUGAAGGGCAGGACAAAGCCCACCAAAGCUCUCAAAUGUUUCCAACCAACAGUAACUAAACCCCCUUUUUUUUGGAAGCUGGAAACUGAGAAUAUUGAACACUCCAUUCGAAAAUAUUUUGAACGACUUGAUUGAGGAAUUGAUUCACUGGGAUUUUGUUUUAGACUCCACUGCAGCAAAUCUGAACUUUGUUUAACAUAUUGAGAAUCGAUUGCAGUCGUGGUUUGCGUACUGUGUAGAACCAUUGCGUUUCUUAAUAUUGCAUUCUCCAUUUUGUAGUUUAGUUAUUAUGUGUUAUUUUUUUGUGCACCCCGUUAACCAUAUUUGGACUGACGAGAAGAGACUCUGACUCUGUAAAUGUUCUCCGUUUAUUGAGGGAAUAAUUCAAGAAGCCGUUUUCUCACGCUGGCUUUGAACUUGAAUGGCUAGCUACGCUAACGAGGACAACGCUAACAACUUUGUCAGUGUUAACGCCACUUAGUUUCCUCCUCUCUUCAGUGUCUUUUCUGCCCCACUUCAAGGUGGAUUAGCGCAUGCUAGCGGGUUAGCAUGCCCCCCCCCUGAGUGAGUGUCUGUAAAAUGUGUGAGGAAGGUCAAAGCGUUUCAGGCGGAAAGGGCGAACGUAUGACUUGACCACUCAAGGGAGGCUUUUUCAUCUCGACUCCGCGCAGAGGAAACCGCAACGUUGUGAGCCGCUUCGCCGGCGUUUUUAAACAAAGCAACCGCUGUUAAUCAUCAGUCAGAGUGCAAUGCCGUUGUUGUCAUUACUCCCGCUGAAUACAGUUGGAAUCAAAUAGGACAUUUGUGACUAAAGCUACCGGCGAGAAAACGAGGUUCAGGAAAAGUGUCACUGACUAUUUAUGUGUGUCCACCGCAAAUAGACUCCUCAUUGACGUUCCGUCGGCAUUACUUAUAAAACUGUCCACGGACGGCAAACCAAUAGAUGGCUUUUUGUGACUAUUUGUGAGGUCCGACUUCCUGUCAGGUCCCGUUGUAUUUUGUUAGUAUUGGAUCUGUGUGUCAAGUUGCAACAAAAAAAAAAAAGCAUUGAAAGUGUGAAGAGUCUUGUUUCCCAUUUUUCUGUUUGUGUCACUGUUCUCUCUCGCUGUUAUUGGGUCUAAUUAUCCUCAGGUCCUUCCCCAGACUACUGCCGCGACGUCUCCUUUUGAAGCUGAAAGAGUUUGUUUUGAACAAACCAGAAACACAAAGAAAUCACUUUCAUGAGAGAAUUUUUCCUCUUUGCUCCAGAAGCUCUUUGCUGAGUCCAGAGAAAUACACCUUCAAUGUGUCACCUUCAAUCACAUUGUGGUUACUUUAAGUUAUGUGGUGCACCACGUACGGACAAACCCGUGUAAAAUAGUGCAAACUGCAGCAGCUUAGAUGGGGAGGAUUGACCUCAAAGUAGCAGAAGAGAUAUGCCUUUAAUCGCUUUGUAAUUGAGACGUUCACGAAGCGCUCCGUCUUUGGUGCUUUCUGUUUUUUUCACUGUCACCCUUCGACCCAGAUAGAUGUUCAGCGUCGCCGCGGGAGCGGAAAUCAAUUUCCUCUCGUCCCACUGAAGUCUGUGCCGUAAUGGUGGUGUAGUUAACCAAGAGCAGGGCACUGCUUCUGCACCACAGAGGCACAACAACUGAGCAUCUGUGUGUGUGUGUGUGUGUGUGUGUGUGUGUGUGUGUGAUCAGCUGGGCGGUAGACGUGAGCGCAGGGUCAGCUGUACAUUCCUGGGCAGGGCAUCAGCAGGAAAGAUCCCUUCAUGAAUACAAAGUCUGUGUGUGUGUGGUGGGGGGGUUGGAGCUGAUGCCUCGCUGUAGGCAAUGAUUAACUAUGCUGAACAAAGUUUGUGCAAACAACUGAGAUACUGGAGUCUACGCGGAAGGAAAUCUCCUGGGCUCUGCUGAGUGAAGUGAAACGCGUUAAAGCUGCAUUCCCCCGAGUGUCCACCGGGGGUCCCAUUGAAGUCUAUGGGAAAGCACAGACUUCUCUUUUCAUUUAUUCCCUCAGUUAACAUGACUUUAACACUCCCCCGUUGACCCCCCCAGUGCGUGAUUUAGUCGUCUUUGUGCUCCCUGGUUCGACGUGCAAGAAUACUUUUUGCAGGUACAGCUAUGAAUGCUGGAUGACACCAUCCUGAAUAUCGACAUAUGCUAAUCACAGUUUUAGAUCACCGCGUACUAUGAUUUAAUACCCAGUCAGGAGGCGUGACACCCGCUCUGAUUACCUCUCCUGGUUAGUUAAAUCGAUAAACAACACCCUAAGAACACAUGGGGCGCUUCCACGUCACAAAGGCGCGUGGCCCGGUUUCCGUGACGCCGCUGCUGGCUUUACGUUGCGCCUCGCACAUUCCUCCACGUUCGAUCACGUGACGAAAACCAACCCGAUGAGACUUGUGGAAGGAGAACGCAUCAGAGUGAACCAUUAGUCACCUCUACCUUUUGUGUGUUGUUGUCAUCGGUGCACGGCAGUGCGGUAAACCGGUUCCCUCUAAACCGUUACCGAUCGCGCCUCUCAGCUGGGGCGCAACCACGCACAUGUCAUGUUUCACAGGACGAGUGGUUGACGGACAUGUUUUUUCCCUCUGCACGUUGUCCUGCAGAAGCCUCAGUGUGUGUGUGUGUGUGUGUGUGUGUGUGUGUGUGUGUGUGUGUCGGGUGGUGAACCAAACCAGCGGGCUACACGAGCGCGUGCUGCCACAGAAGAGGGGAAGAAACGAGCGGGAGGGACGAGCUAGACGCGGCGUUGAGGGAUGCACCGCGCUCACGAGGGGGCCAUCACAGGGGUCGCCGCCGGCGGGUGGCGUCGGGGUCGGGGGUCAUUCAAUCCGGCGGAAAUCCCUGAGGAUUAAUGGGAAGCAGCAAGUCUGCGGAGCAAGAGGGAGGCAAACGUCAGUGAUGCUUUUCAUCAGCCACCAAAUCUACUGCAGGGCGGCGAGAGACGGCACGCUAUGCAUCUGCAUUGAUUUUAAAUGGAGGCCCAGAGUCGUGAUCCCGACGCCUUUGUCAAAGUGUUGGACCUCACUAAUGCUCUCGUGGCGUAAUGGGAGAAAAUCCCCCCGCGGCCCCGGUUCCAAAGUCUCGAGCAAAGCCUGAAAACCAGAGAAGCGGAGGGCGGCUGAAGCAGAUUAGUGCCCACGGUUGGCCGCGUGGUUUGAAGUGACCACGUCGGUUCCAGCACGUGAGACGGGUCCCAUUGCGCUUCCUUCGGUACCUGUCGCGUGAGGGGAAGCUGCGUGCGCCUAUAGCUAGUCGACUAAUCGUCCGUUUUUAUUCAUAGUCGAUUAGUCGUUUAUUUUCAACACAUUGAACGCCAGAUUUAAAGCGCUGCUUCUGUGUGAUUAUCUGAUCAAUUAAACACACCUUCAAUUAGGAGGACGCUGCUUGUGUCCCUGGAGGGGCUUGGAUCCUGCUUUGGGUUACGCCGCCUGAAUGAAUGCAGGAGACCAGGUUUGUGUUGUGGAUGACACAUCUGGAUGCUGAUUGGUCCCCCACCUCGUCUGCAUUGUUCAGCUUGUUGCUGAUUGUCUGCAGCGUCUGAAGGAGGGUUAACGUUGCCCUUGAUUCAGCAGAGCAGUGCAGGAGUGUGUGUGUGUGUGUGUGUGUGUGUGUGUGUGUGUCGGGGGGGGUGGGGUUGUUGGUGGAGUCACAGUUACUGUGUUUGCUGGGCGGCCUCGCUCAGGCUGGCCUGCCCCAGGGCUUUAGCGCUAUUUAUAGAGACAUAGCACCGCUCAUGUGGCGAAGGCGGAGAGGAUGAUGAUUCUUCUUCUUCUUCUCCAUAAUUCUACCGUUGAGUUCAAUGUCCGAAGCAUGAAAAGCUCUCCCGAGGAGCGCAGGUGCGCCGACACGUCUCACCACGGAAUACAAUUCGCCAGCGCCCUUUCCGAGAUGCGGCUGGGAUUCCUCCGCUGGGUCGCGGGCCCCUCUGGAAUCCGCUUGGACGGGCGGUUUUCGGGGGGGGGGAUCCUGCGCGAGUCGUGAUGGCAGAUCGCGGCUCCUUUUCUCUCUGGGGGGGGGGCCUCCUCCCGUCCUACUCGUUUUUUCCGUUUUUCUCUCUGGGGAAACGCAGCGCAUUGGUAUCGGCGGCGGUUUUGAUGUCUCAUCCGGUCGAUCUCUCGACACGACGAGAAAAAGCAGAAGGGUGACGGAGGAGAGAGAGGGAGGGAGGAAAGGUGGUGGUGAUGGAGUGACACUGCACUCUUGUUUACACACACACACACACACACACACACACACUGAGUUCCUUGGAACAGCUCGGCCGGCCCAGCAGCCAUCUGUGUUGACAAUACAUUGAAGUGACAGUUCAACUCUGUCCGUCUUAGUGUGCCGG
ensembl:lncRNA